rnacentral:rRNA from 1 species
GACGAACGCUGGCGGCGUGCUUAACACAUGCAAGUCGAACGCUGAAGCUUGGUGCUUGCACUGGGUGGAUGAGUGGCGAACGGGUGAGUAAUACGUGAGUAACCUGCCCUUGACUCUGGGAUAAGCCUGGGAAACUGGGUCUAAUACUGGAUAUGACAUGCCACUGCAUGGUGGUGUGUGGAAAGGGUUUUACUGGUUUUGGAUGGGCUCACGGCCUAUCAGCUUGUUGGUGGGGUAAUGGCCUACCAAGGCGACGACGGGUAGCCGGCCUGAGAGGGUGACCGGCCACACUGGGACUGAGACACGGCCCAGGCUCCUACGGGAGGCAGCAGUGGGGAAUAUUGCACAAUGGGCGGAAGCCUGAUGCAGCGACGCCGCGUGAGGGAUGACGGCCUUCGGGUUGUAAACCUCUUUCAGCACGGAAGAAGCGAGAGUGACGGUACGUGCAGAAGAAGCGCCGGCUAACUACGU